rnacentral:lncRNA from 1 species
GAAGGUGUACUCUGAUAUGUCGCCCUCAGAGUGGUGAUUGGUGUUAUUUCCGACGUUGUCAGCGGAAUUAUCACAAGGAAACAAGAUGUCGGGGUUCAAAUGCGGUGAUCGGGGAUCAUUGGCGCGAAAGAAAAUUUCGGGGUUCAAGAAAAUGAAAAAGAGAAAUCAUCGAAAUUUUUUGGGGUUCAAGAAAAGAAAAAAAAAGAAGAAGGAAUAAU